UUACAGCCAUAUCAUGUUGAAACACCGGUUCACGUAUGAUCACUAAAGUUAAGCAACGUCGAGCCUGGUCAGUAUCUAGAUGGGAGAUCACUUAUGAAUGCCAGA